GACGAACGCUGGCGGCGUGCCUAACACAUGCAAGUCGAACGGAGAUGAUGGGAUAGCUUGCUAUUUAAUCAUCUUAGUGGCGGACGGGUGAGUAACACGUGGGCAACCUGCCCCAAAGAGGGGGAUAACACCGAGAAAUCGGUGCUAAUACCGCAUAAUAUUAGAGUUUCGCAUGGAGCUUUAAUCAAAGGAGCAAUCCGCUUUGGGAUGGGCCCGCGUCUGAUUAGCUAGUUGGUGAGGUAACGGCUCACCAAGGCGACGAUCAGUAGCCGAUCUGAGAGGAUGACCGGCCACACUGGAACUGAGACACGGUCCAGACUCCUACGGGAGGCAGCAGUGGGGAAUAUUGCACAAUGGGGGAAACCCUGAUGCAGCAACGCCGCGUGGAGGAAGAAGGUCUUCGGAUUGUAAACUCCUGUCUUCUGGGACGAAUAAUGACGGUACCAGAGGAGGAAGCCACGGCUAACUACGUGCCAGCAGCCGCGGUAAU
rnacentral:rRNA from 1 species